rnacentral:tRNA from 1 species
GGUUUGUGGUUCAGUGGUAGAACACUUGCCUAGCAUGUGUGAUCCACUGGGUUCAAUUCUCAGCACCA